GUGGCAGCAGCGGGCAGGCUUUGCCCCACUCUACUACCACCGGAGUGUGGGCUCUCCUCCUCUGAACGGCACACCUGCGCUGUUUGAGUAGGGAGACCCUUGUGUGCCAGCAACAUACUCAAGCGGCGCAGAAGCGCUGUUCGGAAGAAGGGAAGCCUGCGCACCGGGCGGUAGUGGAGUGAGGGGAAGCCAGGAGGAAGCCCAACCGCCGCCGCACUAAAGAUGUAAAGAUGGCGGUAAAGAUGUGAGGUAGCGACGGCGUGGCGAGGGCACCCCCACCCCCAGAGUAGGCAGAGCUGAAUCUGAACAAGGCCUCAGAAGGGCCACUUAGGUCCAGCUGUGGAAGAAAAAGCGUGACAAAGAUGAGAGUGCUUCUGAUCAUGUACCAAGUACAACAGCAGUUAAUAGCAGCAAUCAUCCCCUCUGAGGGCUGACGGAUGGGAAGGACCCAGCCUUUCCCUGGCUCUCCAAUACAGACGUGCUUGAGAGCUAAAUAGGACACAAGGGUGGACAACCUGAGGCUCUCCAGCUAACUGCUGUACUACAACUCCCAUCAUACCCAUCUUAAUUGUGGCUGCGGAUGAUGGGAGUUGUAGUCAAACAACAGCUGGAGAGCCUUAGGUUGGCCCCCUCUGUUCUAAAGGCCAGACUCGGUGUUCUGAGGAGAAAUCUUCGAGGAGAGAAAUGGCGGAGAGCACUGUGAGAGAGGGACCAAACUCGAUCCCUCGAUUAUCUCAAAGGAAGAUCGCACAGGCUUCCUGGCAGGUUAUGGCACUAAAUCACAGGGAUUUUUGGAACUGCUGUCUUGUGUUCUUGCCCAAAAGUUCCCUGCAAAAUAUACGAGGCUUGCCACAGGUUGCACCCUUUGUUACAGAAGUACAAACACAUUUGUGCAAGCACACCAGUCUGGAAUGCAAGCAAAGAAACCAAAAGCAGGAGUCGACAGAUAACCACAACCAAAGCCAUAGGGAAUCAGAUUUUAAAAAUAUAAAGAGGGACAGGACCUUGCAGAUCUCCUGGGGCAGGGAGUUCCACUGUCUAGGUAAAGCUACAGAAAAGGUAUUCCCACCACCAGAGCAGUGGAUGGCAGCAAAAUACACAGAUAGGCCUCCCCAGAGAAUCUCAGAGUGUUUUUGGUGCUUAUUUUUGCUAUAGGGGUUUAUAUUGUGUGUUAUCAAAGGAGCAAACAAGAUCGGCACAAAAAGACAACAAUGAAUGAAAACAAACGACUCAAUGUCCCUGCCCCAAAAUGAUAAGUAUUGUAUAAUUUGGGAAAACUAAACGUCACUUCUAUUCCGAAAACUGAACUCACUUUUUGGACAGUACAAGGCUAUAGCGGCAACUAGGAGGCCAGUUUUUGAAUUCCAGAUUUAGUCACAGAAAUUAUUGAGAGGUGUCUCAACCUUGGGUCCCCAGAUGUGGUUGGACUUCAAAUCCCAUCAUCCCCAGCCACCAGAGACAAUGGUGACUGGGGGGUGAUGGGAGCUGUAGUCCACCCAUAUCGGGGGACCCAAGGCUGAGAACCCCUGGCUUAAAACAAUGGAAAGAGAUACCUGUGGUUAUGUUCUAGUCACAACAAAGCCUUUGACAUCCUAAUUAUUUUGCCCCGGUGAUGCAGUCAAUGGCUACGCAAUCCCCAGUUUGGCAGGUUACAGUUGGUGACUAACAUGAUGUAUGACUCACACCUCAAGGAACUGGCAUGCCCAACUUCAGGCUAGUUCACACAUGCACAGUCAUUACUCUUCAGCCCUAGCAUUGAGUGACUCUGCAGAUAGCGCUUUUUCUACUUACCUACCUGUUGGACCUCAUUCACCACAUGAAUCUGCCAGGGCCCUCCACCGAUCAUAUCGACAGAUUCGGCCAUGGGGUCAAAAGAUAGGGCCUUCUCAGUUGUGGCCCCUAAGCUCUGGAAUCUCCUCCCAGAAGAGCUUUGCCAUGCUCUCUCCCUUAGGGUUUUUAUUUGUUCAGAGAGGCUUUUUAAAUGUCUUUUGUUACAGUCUGAAGGGUUGUUAAUUUUUAAUUGGGUCUGUUUUAAUCAAUUUAUUUUUAUACUGUGUUUUAGAUGUUUUUAUUGCCCCAAGCAGUAUUGUA